GUGGGUGUGCCGGAGUGGUCAAACGGGAUGGACUCAAAAUCCAUUAGCUUAGUGCUUACGCAGGUUCGAGUAUUAAGCUGUGCUUAAUGAAUUAGAAAAAGUGCAGCUUUUUCGAAAUCCCUGCCACCCACA
rnacentral:tRNA from 1 species